rnacentral:lncRNA from 1 species
AGAGAGGCAAAGAGUCCCUUGUUUUGCUUUUUUUUUUUUGGUCAUUAGAGAGUAAGGGACAUCCCUUAAUUAAGGGCUUUUCCCUUCUCUUUCUUCUUCGGUCCCCACCCCCUUUCUCUAAGGGAUACCUUAAGGGACUCCCAAUAAUGUUGCCCUUAGUUUUAGGGUUUUUAUUCUUCUGGUGUUUUUUCGAUUUAGAGUUGUUAAAUAUAUUUCUGAGUUUUUAUUAUUUAGAGUUCUUAUUGUUCUUGUUCCUUCGUGUUUGUAAUUUAUUUUCAUCUUCAGAUCUAGAUUCAGUAUAACUUGGUAUUACUCUCGGUACAACUAACUCAGUAAUACUUAGUAGAACCCAGUAGUACUUAG